rnacentral:misc_RNA from 1 species
GAAUUAUUGCCAUUUGUGAGAUUUCCCUUACUGCCAUAUCACAUGCUGAAGAAGUUGGGGCAGAGCAAUCUUAGCACGCACAUUCACAUUUUUGAUAAUCUUGUGAGGGAGGGUAUCAAUUAUGUAGAAUUUGGAUUAGCAAUGGCAGAAAGUGACCAAAACGAACGGUUUCAACAUAGGCGACCAAGUUAUAAGGAGCUCCAGUAUAUAUGUGAUGGUGACAGCAAUGGAGUUCUGUACUUUGCUGGUACAUCUUAUGGGGAACACCAGUGGGUUAAUCCUGUUUUGUCUAAGCGAAUCACAAUUACAGCAAGCAGUCCUACUUCAAGAUACACCGACCCAAAGGCAUUGGUAUCAAGAACUUACCAGGGAACAUGU